AGCACCACCUAGUGAACGACAUGUAGAACUACACCAGGAUUUGUGGCACUAGUCAAACUAGUUUUGACGUCAGAGAUGCGUUUGGAUUUGUUCUCUGAAGUUAUGAGGAUGUGAUGAAAUGAAAUCCUCGCAGACUUCACGCUUCUUCUCUCCGGAUACUCUGACAGAUGACGGCGGAAAGUUUCUGCAGAUCGACCUGAAGGUCAGUGCAGAGACAUGAAAUGGAUUCUGCUGGACAAGAACUUCAAGCUGAAGCUCAAUCCAAGAAACCAGUUGAGUGUAAAACAUCAAUGGAUAAAUAUUCAGAACUGAAGAACCAGAGUUCUCAGCAAGAAUUCAAGAUGGACGCUGCUGAACCAGAACCUCAAGCCAAGGCUGGAUUCAAGUGUUUGCUCAAGCGAAAAAUAUCAAUGGACAGAGACGUAGAUUACAAACAAACAUCAGCAGUAGCAGGAAUGUCGUCCGUCUUCCCUGGUCUCGGCUCUGAGCUCCUGCCCCUCCUACCUGAGAGAGCUGCACCUGAGCUACAAUCACCCCGAAGACUCAGGAGUCAAACUUCUGUCUAGUGGAUUAGAGAAUCCAGACUGGAGGCUGGAAACUCUCCGAUUUCUGUGAACUUGAACUAGACACAAACUCUGUGAACAAACACCUGAAACAAUCGGAAGAUGACGCUGGUUAAAGCGAAGCAGCCGUAUUCGGAUCAUCCAGAAAGAUUCGACUUCUGGCAGCUGCUGUGUGGAAACGCCCUGCCUGGUCGCUGUUACUGGGAGGUGGAGUGGAAAGGAGGAGUUCGCAGAGCCGUCAGUUACAGAUGAGUCAGGAGGAAAGGAAAGAGGAAUGACUGUUUGGAGAGAAUGAUCUUUCCUGGAGGCUGAGCUGCUCUGAUGGUGGGAUGGGAGGAACAGUCAGAUAUUCAUCCCGUCCGGAUCCCACAGAGUGGCCGUGUGUGUGGACUGUUCGGCUGGCAUCCUGUCCUGCUACAGGGUCUCAUCCGACACACAUCUCCACCUUCACUGAACCACUUUCUGCUGGCUUUGGGUUCAGCUCAUGACUCCUCAGUGUCUCUGUGUUCUCUAUAGUAAACAUGGCGACUAUUAGACAAAACCUCAGUGUGCAGUUUGUAAUCUUUAACAAAUGAGUAGGAGUGGAAUAAAAAAUGCUGAACCAGAAAUGAGAUGAUUCUGGCUAUGGGCUAAUCUAAAUAUUUAGUUUGAAGACAAGUAUUUAAGUAGGAAACAAAAUAUUUACAUUCAAACUAAAUAUUUAGUUAUCAAGUAAUGGAAUGAAGCUAAAUAUUUAGUUUGAAACUAAAAGUUUAGCUUAAUAUUUAACAAACAAGCUAAAUUUAGGUUAAAGACUAAAUAUCCAGUUUACAAGUUACAUAUUGAGUAAAGCUAAAUAUUUAAUUUGAAGUUAAAUAUUUGGGUUGUAAACUAAAUAUUUAGCAACAAACUAAAUAUUUCAUUAUCAAGCAAUUGAGUGCAGCUAAAUAUUUGGUUAGAAACUAAAUAGGUAGCUCCAAACUAAAUACUAUAUAUAGCUUCAAAUAAUACUUUGCCAACUAAAUAUUUAGAUAUUUAAACCUUUUGGGGAUUAAAAACCAUAAAAGGCGUUGGAUUACAUUUGAAUUACAUUUGCAGUCAAAUUUAUUUGCAAAAAGUGUUGAAAUAUAAUUUUUCAUUCAUGUUUCCCUCCCAUGAUGGACCGCUUCACUUUGGUAAAAUGUCAAAAGCUUUUCUCUGUUGUUGCAACAAGGACAGGGUAGAUGGAUGCUAUAUGUUCAUAAGAGAACUGAUUUUUUUCAUCUAAUUGUAGCGUUAUAAGCACAAUUAUUAACUACUUUGUGAUAAAAGUGGAAUUAACUGUUUCUCUAAAUGAGUCACUGUUAUUUAUGGAUUUGAAAAAUCUGAAAUGCAAGUAAAAUAUGUUUUUUUAUGCAUGAUGAAGAAAGGAAACAAUGAAAAAUGGAAGGAAGAUUUUACAUAAUAUGUACAAAUACAUUUCUUCUCUAUGAUGAACGUCCUCAGACUAUUUCUUAUGUUUAUGGGAAAUUAGACACUUUGUGUAUAACCUGAAGUGCAUUAGUCUGUUCAGGGUUUGCUUCAGAGAAACAGGUUCAACAAACUUUUGGUGAAUUUCAAGCUCUCGUGAUUUUUCCCCUCUGAGUCUUUAAUGUGCUUCUGAAACUAAAUCUGUGUCUGAUCAACAUUUUUCUGUGCCUUUGACCACAUUCAAACCACAUGUUUUCUAUUACAUUAUUGCAAUCUGUUUUCACUUUGUAUGUAUUUUUUCUACUCCUUGAUGUUGAAGUCCCUUCUAAACUUGUAUUGAUCUGUUUGCAUAUAUGCAAUAAAAAUUAAUCCACUUUA